rnacentral:rRNA from 1 species
UACGUAGGGUGCAAGCGUUGUCCGGAAUUAUUGGGCGUAAAGAGCUCGUAGGUGGCCUGUCGCGUCGGCUGUGAAAACUCGGGGCUCAACUCCGAGCUUGCAGUCGAUACGGGCAGGCUAGAGUUCGGCAGGGGGAGACUGGAAUUCCUGGUGUAGCGGUGAAAUGCGCAGAUAUCAGGAGGAACACCGGUGGCGAAGGCGGGUCUCUGGGCCGAUACUGACACUGGAGGAGCGAAAGCGUGGGGAGCGAACAGG